rnacentral:lncRNA from 1 species
AAUUUAUUUGGAACUAGAUUACCAUGGGAAAGUGAGAGUAGUUUAGUAAUCAUGUUUACAUAACACCAAAACAAUUUCAAAUUAAGUCCUCCGAUGACUACUACUGCCCACAGUUUAGCUUCUUCCUGAAAAUUUCCAUAAACAUCCUAGUAUUGAAGAACUUGAAUUCAGCGAAGGUCCAAAUGAUGCAUUGUCUUGAUUAACAGAAACUUUCAUAUUCAAGCAUCAGCUGUUUUGGCGAUGAGAGGAAUGGGCAACUAGCCUUUCUACGAGCCCUUCAUCUUGGCUUCUUGCUCACGGAUCUUCUGCAUCCGAAGCAUUCUCUCCAUAACAAGUUCAUACUCGCACUUUUCAUAGGUGUGGCACUCCACCUCACACUUCCAGAGCAAAUAGAAAAAACAUGGUGCAAU